GCCCAACCUAUGCGGCCCAUAACCCACUGCUCGUUACCAAGGCAUUCGCGACGUCCGUCGUCCACGUCAUUUGCGGUCCACACUCAGAAGCCAGCGGUACUAUGUUAGUCCGUUUUCCUGCUGAUGCACAAAGAACAAAUAUGGCGGACGCACACGCCUUAUAAAUUUUUCUUACAGAAAUGGACGCCCAUAAUCCGAAAACUACAUCCGUCCGUUUAUCACUUGGUGCGAGUGCUAGUCACUGGCCUUGGAGCUUUUGCUUUGCCACGCCUGGUGGCUGAACAACGGACUUGAUUUUCUAUGAUAAUUUCAAAUGGUAUUGAAACCACUUAAAACAGAAAGAAAUAUCAAAAUAGAUGUACCAACAAUAGUGAUCAAAGAUCUAAAAUGUUGAUCAUUUGACCAUUAAAAUGCCAGAAAUAUUACAUGCACUGUAAGGUGGAAUUUGAGUAUGUGCAUACAGUUCAUAAUAUGGCCAUCUAUGUUGUAAGUAAGGAUCUUAUGCUGGAUUAUAGGUAAGUACUAACGUUACUUUAUUUGUAUACAAAUUUGGAUUUUAUAAGAUACACUAUUUUCAGUAAAGGUAGAGGAGUGGGUUUUCAUUACACAAUUAUUUGACCAAUUGGAUUGGUAUAUAGUAUUGUGAAUCCAACAUCACGUCAUUAUUAUUAUUCAACUGUCAUUACACAAACGUUGGAAAACUUAUUCUACAGUUAAACCCUGAGUUAGGUUGUUAAUUCUAGGGUUUAUUAGAAGGUUAUUGUUUAUUCAUCGCCAUAGUUAUUAGCCAUGACUUGACCAGUGUUGAAGAUUAUAACUACUUCAACGCUUAACUAUUUAUAUGUUGACUAAAUCUUCGCUUGUCAAGAGUUUCUAAGAUUUUCAUAUAUUAGAAGUUGGAGUUUAUAUAUCUAAUGGAUGGUCUUUAAGAUGAAGUGUUAAAAGUUGGAAAUGUGUUAUAACAUUUAUACACAGCUGGAUAUUUUUAUAUCUAUUACUUUGUGUUAGCAAAGAGGUUGGUGGAGUGACUGAUGACAACCCCUAAUCAACCCCAUCUAUGUUGCUGUAGACUCAGACAUGAAGUUAACUAGUGAAAUACAAAUUACACUACAAACUAUGAUUUUGGUUUUUUAGUCUAGAGCUCUAUGGGCUUGAAGUUGUCAAUUUUUUUUAUGUAACAUUUUAUUUUCAACUCAAUUUUAAAUCUGUUUGCCUAGUGUUAAUCUAACAUCAGUGCCUUCGAUUUCUUUUCAAACCCUAAAUGUAUUUGUUUUGAAAAUAAUAGAAAAUAAUUUGUAAGCUAACAUUACUAGAAAGUAAUUAAUAAAUACACAACUAUUGGACUUAUUACUAUAUUAUGUAUCAAUAAAUCUAUUAUGUUGUCAAAAGACAUAUUUAAUAUGCUAUCUUAGUUCUGUUAUCUACCUAUCUUAAAUUCUAAAACAAAUAAUAUAUACCUAAUAUAUUUACGCUAUUAUCAUUGUUGAAAUACAUGUACUAAUAGAAUUUAAAAUUUAUUGAUAUGAGGAGUUGUAUUUGUAAACUUUGUAUUAUCUUAAUACGCAUCUAUAUUUUUUUUACAUUAAAAUAAUCAAUUGUUUUAUAUAAAUGUUAAGUAUAAAUUAUAUAUGGGUUGAAUAAAUUUUGAUAUUUUUGAAACCCAGGGUAA